CUUAGGUGCGUUGGUAUUGUAGCUAAAGAAAUAUAACUGAAGAAAAUGAAGACAACAAUCAAAAGUAGCCAUUAGCCAAUAGUAUAAUACAUUUGUGAAUGAGGUGAACAAAGGUUGGUAGCAUGGUAAAAGAGGUGAACCAACAAAUUCACUGGUCCGAGUGAGACGGGCAAAUGAAUCCAAACAUUGGUAAAGACAAGGAAACGCGUUUCACUUGUAGAAUUGCUUCAAAACUUUCAAUUCUACGCAAGGUAUCGUUUCGACUUUCAUGGCCCUUAACAUGGAAAUACCGUACCUGAUUAGCAGCACCCUUUUUCUAAAGCCAUUCUAAAAUAGAGUACCAAACAAGACCUAAGCACGCCUUCAUGAUAUCUGUCAUACAGUGGUUCAAUACGCUCCUAUCUUGUGACGCCCCAUCUUUUUCUAUUUCUUUUAAGUUAGUUUUUUUGAAUUACAGUCAAAUUUCUAUUUCUUUUAAGUUAGUUUUUUUGAAUUACCAUCGAAUUUUAGCCAAAUAUCGUUCAUUUUUAUUUUAAGAGUAUAUGGAAUUUAUUUUUUUAGAAGCCCAAAAUAUUAAUUAUUCAUUCCAGUAAAGCAGUCAAAUUUUGGUCAAAUAUAUUUCUCCCAAAUCCCAUCAACAAACGUUUUCCCCAUAUCUCCACUCCCUAAAAUCUCUCCAAUCACCAAAUCCAUCAAUAUCUAUCAGUUUUGCAUAUAUAUAUCUCUUCCCUAUAAUCUCAGCAAAUAACCAUCUUCCGUUCUGCAAUUUUUCUUCUCCUCUUCCAUUGAAUUCAAAAACCUCUAUAUUUGUUGAUUCCAAAAUUCGACAUUAUAGUGUGAAGAAGAAACCGAGGGAGUGUGAUUUUUGUCAAUACCAUCUGUUUGAUCAAUUUUCAUUCCAUACCAAAGGGUUUUCUUUCGCAAUCGAGUAAGGCGAAGUGAGAGUUUUCAAGUUAAGAAUAUUAAGAGAACGAGGUUGAGCGUGACGGGCGCGGUGGGUGUUGUGCAAGAACGUUGAAGAAAUUUAAGUGUCUAGAAUGUGUCAUGUCUUCACACGUGGCAUAUUUCUUCUCUCGAAAUGCUUCCGCCAAGUAGUUGUCC